rnacentral:rRNA from 1 species
GCCAGCAGUCAUAUCACCCUAUAACUCAAAACUGCCAUCCCACUGAAACUCACCAGGUGUGAGCCCAGUCAGUACCUGGAUGGAGGACCUCGUGGAAAAACUAAGGUUGCUGCUGGAA